UACGGGGGGGGCAAGCGUUGUUCGGAAUUACUGGGCGUAAAGGGCUCGUAGGCGGCCAACUAAGUCAGACGUGAAAUCCCUCGGCUUAACCGGGGAACUGCGUCUGAUACUGGAUGGCUUAAGAUUGGGAGAGGGAUGCGGAAUUCCAGGUGUAGCGGUGAAAUGCGUAGAUAUCGGGAGGAACAUCAGUUGCGAAGGCGGCUCUCUGGACCAGCACUGACACUGAGGCACGAAAGCGUGGGGAGCAAACAGG
rnacentral:rRNA from 1 species